rnacentral:misc_RNA from 1 species
AACUCUCAACCCCCCUAUUUUGUAAUGAGAUGGGCGUGGGCUUGGAUUAUGGUUGUCUGUCGGCGUAAUGGCCGGCUCAACUGAAAUACACGAGCAACCCAAUUGAAAUAAACGGUUUGACUUGGCGUAAUAACUAUUUCGCUAAGGACGUUUUCUUCAAAUGUAAGAGGUGCUUCUAAUUCGCUUCUAUAGCAUUUAAGC